CUAAUACUGCCUCCGUCCGGAAAUACUUGUCGUAGAAAUGGAUACAAAUGGAUGUAUCUAGAACUAAAAUACAUCUAGAUACAUCCAUUCCUCGGACAAGUAUUUUUGGACGGAGGGAGUACUAG
rnacentral:pre_miRNA from 1 species